rnacentral:rRNA from 1 species
GACGAACGCUGGCGGCGUGCUUAACACAUGCAAGUCGAACGGAAAGGCCCUGCUUUUGUGGGGUGCUCGAGUGGCGAACGGGUGAGUAACACGUGAGUAACCUGCCCUUGACUUUGGGAUAACUUCAGGAAACUGGGGCUAAUACUGGAUAGGAGCUCCUGCUGCAUGGUGGGGGUUGGAAAGUUUCGGCGGUUGGGGAUGGACUCGCGGCUUAUCAGCUUGUUGGUGGGGUAGUGGCUUACCAAGGCUUUGACGGGUAGCCGGCCUGAGAGGGUGACCGGCCACAUUGGGACUGAGAUACGGCCCAGACUCCUACGGGAGGCAGCAGUGGGGAAUAUUGCACAAUGGGCGGAAGCCUGAUGCAGCAACGCCGCGUGCGGGAUGACGGUCUUCGGGUUGUAAACCGCUUUCGCCUGUGACGAAGCGUGAGUGACGGUAAUGGGUAAAGAAGCACCGGCUAACUACGUG